GUGAGCUGUGUGCUGGUUUGAGAGGGACAGGUGGGGAUGGCUUUGCACCCUUGGCCCCCGGUUGGGUAGGGGAACCCAACCCGGGUUCCCAGCACCCAGGCCGAAUGGACAGGGGUUGCACAGUGGAGGUAAAGGCUUGAGUGACUCCCAGGAAUCCACCCACUGGGGCUCUGGCUGCUGUGGACUCUGGGGCCCUGGCUGCUAUGGACUCUGGGGUCCUGGCUGCCCCCUUCAGCAGGCCCUGCUUGUAGCCGCAGAGUGGUUUUGUUCAAGUCAAUGCUGCCCCUGGAGGGCCCGUGUUCUGUGCAGAGACCAAACCCCCUUGUCGAGGCCAAGGUUCUCCUCUACCCCCAAGCCCUUCUCCUGCCGCCCCUGCACCCGGCCUUGUGACAGCCACCACCUGUUUCCAAAUGACACCAGGGGUGGGCCGCCCACCCCAGGUAGAAUAACCAAGGUGGAGCUGCUCCCAGCUGCCUUGCUCACACCAGCACCAUCUGCCCCUGCCCUGUGCACACCCCUCCC
rnacentral:lncRNA from 1 species